GGAAUUACUGGGCGUAAAGCGCGCGUAGGUGGUUUUGUCAGUCAGAUGUGAAAGCCCAGGGCUCAACCUUGGAACUGCACCUGAUACUGCAAGACUAGAGUACAAUAGAGGGGAGUGGAAUUUCCGGUGUAGCGGUGAAAUGCAUAGAUAUUACACAGAACACCGAUAGCGAAGGCAGCUCACUAGGCCUGGAUUGACGCUCAGGGACGAAAGCGUGGGGAUCAAACAGGAUUAGAUACCCUGGUAGUCCACGCCGUAAACGAUGGAUACUAGCUGUUCGUCUAACAUUGGUUAGAUGAGUGGCUAAGCGAAAGUGAUAAGUAUCCCACCUGGGGGUACGGUCGCAAGACUGAAACUCAAAGGAAUUGACGGGGGCCCGCACAAGCGGUGGAGCAUGUGGUUUAAUUCGAUGAUACGCGAGGAACCUUACCAGGGCUUAAAUGUAAGUUGCAUUAGUUAGAGAUAGCUAUUUCUUCGGACCACUUACAAGGUGCUGCAUGGUU
rnacentral:rRNA from 1 species